AAAAUUCUCCGGGGCAGGGUGAAAUUCCCGACCGGCGGUGAAAGCCCGCGAGCUCCUGAAGGAGUUGAUCCGGUGGAAUUCCGGAGCCGACGGUGAAAGUCCGGAUGGGAGGAGAAUUGA
rnacentral:ncRNA from 2 species